rnacentral:rRNA from 1 species
UACGGGGGGGGCAAGCGUUGUUCGGAAUUACUGGGCGUAAAGGGCUCGUAGGCGGCCAACUAAGUCGGAUGUGAAAUCUCCAGGCUUAACCUGGGAACUGCAUCCGAUACUGGAUGGCUUGAAUCCGGGAGAGGGAUGCAGAAUUCCAGGUGUAGCGGUGAAAUGCGUAGAUAUCUGGAGGAACACCGGUGGCGAAGGCGGCAUCCUGGACCAACACUGACACUGAGGAGCGAAAGCCAGGGGAGCAAACGGG